GGAAUAUAAGAACCCGUUUUUUAACUUUUAACUAAAAAAACUAAGAAUCGGUUCUUAAAUCUCUUAUUUAAGAGCCGAUUCUUACCUUUUUUAGUUAAAAGUUAAGAGACAGAUUCUUAUAUUCC
rfam:Brassica napus, WGS project CCCW01000000 data, contig: 9724